AACAGGUGCAGUGGAAGCCUGGUCUUUGAGUGACUGGAUGAGAACAGGUGCAGUGGAAGCCUGGUCUUUGAGUGACUGGGUGAGAACAGGUGCAGUGGAAGCCUGGUCUUUGAGUGACUGGAUGAGAACAGGUGCAGUGGAAGCUUGGCUGGGAUAGUAAUGAGCCCUCUGCAGAUGUCGGCUGUCUGCACUCUAGAUGGGUUUGUCUGUCUGUUUACACUCAGUUCACUAAAAGGGUUUUUCUCAACGUCUGUUUACGAGUUGUGGACUCGAGUCACAUGACUUGGACUCGAGUAUGACUCGAGUCACAUGACUUGAUGACUUGGGACUCGACUUGGUAUAAAAUAAAAUAACUUGAGACUGGAUUUGGAGCCUCAAGAAUCGGAACUUGACUUUGACUUAAAAACUGAUGACUUGAACUUAUCUGGCCAGGUUUUGUAAUGUUUUGUCACUCAUUUGUGGGACAAAGUCUAAGUGGAUUACUCAACACGCAGCCAGAGAGUCGCCGCA
rnacentral:lncRNA from 1 species